rnacentral:misc_RNA from 1 species
CUCCUUGUCCCAUUUAGUUAGAGGUCUUCGUCCCCUAUCCCGGAAGUGGGUUAUCCCUUCUCAUCUCCGCGCAGGGUUGUGUUAUGUAUAAAUAAGAUUGGUUGUUGCUUUUUGCUGCAGAUUGGGGUUAAAUGUUGAGGGUUUCUUUGAUUUACAUGACAAAGAUUUAGUCUCUAGCUUGUUUAUGCUUGAGUCUUCUUGCAGCACUUAGGUUGCUGAGGGG